UGAAUACGAGACGCUAAGGCGUCGAAGUAGUGUAUGUCAUACUUCCAAGAAAAGCUUGCACUGUCAUAGAUAAAAAACGCCUGUACCAUAACCGACACAGGUGGGUAGGUAGAGUAUACUAAGGGGCGCGAGAUAACUCUCUCUAAGGAACUCGGCAAAAUAACUCCGUAACUUCGGGAGAAGGAGUGCCUUAUUCGUAAGGUUGCAAUAACAAGAUCCAAGCAUCUGUUUAUCAAAAACACAGGUCUCCGCUAAGUCGUAAGACGAUGUAUGGGGGCUGACGCCUGCCCAGUGCCAGAAGGUUAAAGAAGUUGGUUAGCAAUUGCGACCUGAUAACUGAAGCCCUGGUGAACGGCGGCCGUAACAAUAACGGUCCUAAGGUAGCGAAAUUCCUUGUCGGGUAAGUUCCGACCCGCACGAAAGGCGUAAUGAUUUGGAUACUGUCUCGGAGAGGGGCUCGGUGAAAUAGACUUGUCUGUGAAGAUGCGGACUACCUGCACCAGGACAGAAAGACCCUAUGAAGCUUUACUGUAACUUGAAAUUGAAAUUGGACUUUAUUCGCGCAGUAGAGGUGGGAGGCGUUGAUUAUAAUCUUGUGGGAUUAUUGGAGCCAUCAGUGAGAUACCACUCUUGUAAUGUUAGAUUUCUAACUUUGAAUCAUUAUCUGGUCAAAGAACAGUUUCAGGCGGGCAGUUUGACUGGGGCGGUCGCCUCCUAAACGGUAACGGAGGCGUACAAAGGUUUCCUCUGAACGGUUAGAAAUCGUAUCUAGAGUGUAAAGGCAUAAGGAAGCUUGACUGUGAGACCUACAAGUCGAGCAGGGACGAAAGUCGGUCUUAGUGAUCUGACGGUACUGAGUGGAAAGGCCGUCACUCAACGGAUAAAAGUUACUCUAGGAUAACAGGCUGAUCUCCCCCAAGAGUUCACAUCGACGGGGAGGUUUGGCACCUCGAUGUCGGCUCAUCGCAUCCUGGGGCGGUAGUACGUCCCAAGGGUUGGGCUGUUCGCCCAUGAAAGCGGUACGCGAGCUGGGUUCAGAACGUCGUGAGACAGUUCGGUCCAUAUCCGGUGUAGGCGUUAGAAUAUUGAGAGGAGCCUUCUUUAGUACGAGAGGACCGAGAAGGACAUACCUCUGGUGUACCAGUUAUCGUGCCAACGGUAAACGCUGGGUAGCUAUGUAUCGAGUGGAUAACCGCUGAAAGCAUCUAAGUGGGAAGCCCACCUCAAGAUAAGUAUUCCC
rnacentral:rRNA from 1 species